rnacentral:lncRNA from 1 species
GUGAACUGAAUUUAUUUCUAAUUCGAUUAUUCUAUACAAGAUAGAUGAGAAAGAGACGUGCAAUCAGCUCAAAACUAUUGCAAAAACAAAGUUGAAAGGCUGGAUAUUUUUUUUCUUUACCCCUUGUCUAAUACCUGUACAUCAUAUUUGUUCACACUAUAAUGUAAUGUGCACUAGUUUCACAUUAAAUUUGUUCACACC